rnacentral:rRNA from 1 species
UCUCAGUUCGGAUUGCAGGCUGCAACUCGCCUGCAUGAAGCUGGAAUUGCUAGUAAUCGCGGAUCAGCAAGCCGCGGUGAAUACGUUCCCGGGCCUUGUACACACCGCCCGUCACACCAUGAGAGUCGGGAACACCCGAAGUCCGUAGUCUAACCGCAAGGGGGGCGCGGCCGAAGGUGGGUCCGGUAAUUGGGGUGAAGUCGUAACAAGGUAGC